UGGGGAAUUUUGCGCAAUGGGCUAACGCCUGACGCAGCAACGCCGCGUGGAGGAUGAAGGUCUUUGGAUUGUAAACUCCUGUCAGCAGGGAAAAAGGGACUGGGCCUCAUACGUCCGGAACUUGAUUGUACCUGCAGAGGAAGCCCCGGCUAACUCUGUGCCAGCAGCCGCGGUAAUACAGAGGGGGCAAGCGUUAUUCGGAAUUAUUGGGCGUAAAGGGCGCGUAGGCGGCCAUUCAAGUGACGGGUGAAAGCCCUCGGCUUAACCGAGGAACUGCCUGUCAGACUGGAUGGCUUGAGACCGGGAGAGGUGAGUGGAAUUCCCAGUGUAGCGGUGAAAUGCGUAGAUAUUGGGAGGAACACCAGUGGCGAAGGCGGCUCACUGGACCGGAACUGACGCUGAGGCGCGAAAGCGUGGGGAGCAAACAG
rnacentral:rRNA from 1 species